UACGGGGGGGGGCAAGCGUUGUUCGGAAUUACUGGGCGUAAAGGGCUCGUAGGCGGCCAACUAAGUCAGACGUGAAAUCCCUCAGCUUAACUGGGGAACUGCGUCUGAUACUGGAUGGCUUGAAUCCGGGAGAGGGAUGCAGAAUUCCAGGUGUAGCGGUGAAAUGCGUAGAUAUCUGGAGGAAUACCGGUGGCGAAGGCGGCAUCCUGGACCGGCAUUGGCGACUGAG
rnacentral:rRNA from 1 species